CAGCAUAAGGAGGUGAGAAACUAACAAUCCAAAACGCUUAGCCGAAAAUAUCCGUUACCUAUCAUGGUUAUCUGGGUUGAAGCGAUUUCGGAUGGGUAUCGCUUUCCACAAUGGCCUAAAGGAAAAGAGAAACGAGCCCUGAAUCACUGUGGUAGCGCCUCGCCAGAGUCGCAUUCGCAUGCCCCGCUACGCUAAAUCUUAGGCUUGAUAACCCUGUCUGCGAAUCACGGCGCCGUUUGGCUUGUCCAGGACACAAUUGGCUCUGACAGAACGAAGGGCUCUACGCAGUAAAGACCUUGGACAAAGAUUCGACUCUUCGCAGGGAGGCUGUCCCGCAAAAUUCGCAAAUCAUCGCAUUACCACAAACUAUCAAGCAGAUAUUGUUGAUGAUAUGUGUAUAAACCCCAGUGAGGGAGUGGUUUGGUGACAGAUCAAAGAAUCUGGUCUAUUUUCCUAUCUAUAGCGAUUAUGAGGGGUAUAUCGAUACGACUUGAUGGAAGCAGAUGGAAUUUGAGGCAGCAUGAUUUGAGUAAUAAUUGAAAGGGUUUUGGAUUUCCGUGAAUAUGAUUGGCAUGCUGAAGCUUCAAGAACAAUUAGCUGAUCGCCCAGUUGGAAGACGGGUUGUUUACGGCACGGCACGUCUGGUAGUCAAGGAGAUCUCACAACGACUCCUGUCCUGUUUUGAAACCUGAUAGGCAGCCUAUAUUAAAGGAUUACUUGAUCAUGCAAGUAACUUACUUUAGUCUGGGGCGCGGCAUAGCGAGGUGACAAACAACGAGCAAAUCGAGUCAACCUAUGAAGCGGCAUUGAACCCUUGUAGCAGCACCCAUACUUUCGACCCGUGACUUUAUAAGUCGAGAAUGAAUGGCUAACCCUCGGAGCGCAAAAAAAACAUAGGCGUUGAGACUGGCUGAGAGAUGCAAGCGGAGUCACGAAAUUCCGGCAAUCUGUAUAUUGCGAUGGACUUU
rnacentral:sRNA from 2 species